rnacentral:tRNA from 1 species
GGAGAGGUGGCCGAGUGGCUGAAGGCACCCGCUUGCUAAGCGGACGUAGGGAAAGCCCUACCGCGGGUUCGAAUCCCGCCCUCUCCG